rnacentral:rRNA from 1 species
GACGGGGGAUGCAAGUGUUAUCCGGAAUCACUGGGCGUAAAGCGUCUGCAGGUGGUUUCCUAAGUCCACUGUUAAACCUUGAGGCUCAACCUCAAAUCUGCAUUGGAAACUAGGAGACUUGAGUAUAGUAGGGGUAGAGGGAAUUUCCAGUGGAGCGGUGAAAUGCGUAGAUAUUGGAAAGAACACCGAUGGCGAAGGCACUCUACUGGGCUAUUACUGACACUCAGAGACGAAAGCUAGGGGAGCAAGUGGG